rnacentral:tRNA from 1 species
GCGCGCGUAGCUCAGUGGUAGAGCGUCACAUUGACAUUGUGAAGGUCGCAGGUUCGAUACCUGCCGUGCGCA